rnacentral:rRNA from 1 species
UACGAAGGGUGCAAGCGUUACUCGGAAUUACUGGGCGUAAAGCGUGCGUAGGCGGUUUGUUAAGUCUGUCGUGAAAGCCCCGGGCUUAACCUGGGAAUGGCCAUGGAAACUGGCGAACUGGAGUGUGGCAGAGGGGGGUGGAAUUCCGCGUGUAGCAGUGAAAUGCGUAGAGAUGCGGAGGAACACCGAUGGCGAAGGCAGCCCCCUGGGCUAGCACUGACGCUCAGGCACGAAAGCGUGGGGAGCAAACAGG